rnacentral:rRNA from 1 species
UACAGAGGUCCCAAGCGUUGUUCGGAUUUACUGGGCGUAAAGGGUGCGUAGGUGGCGGGGUAAGUUUGAUGUGAAAUCUCCGAGCUUAACUCGGAAACUGCAUUGAAUACUAUCCUGCUAGAGGGUUGGAGGGGGGACUGGAAUUCUCGGUGUAGCAGUGAAAUGCGUAGAUAUCGAGAGGAACACCAGUGGCGAAGGCGAGUCCCUGGACAACUCCUGACACUGAGGCACGAAAGCUAGGGGAG